rnacentral:rRNA from 1 species
UACGUAGGUGGCGAGCGUUGUCCGGAAUUACUGGGUGUAAAGCGCGUGUAGGCGGGAGGCCAAGUCUGCGGUGAAAUCGCUCGGCUCAACUGGGCGGGGUCCGUGGAAACUGGUCACCUGGAGGACGGUAGAGGCGAGUGGAAUUCCCGGUGUAGUGGUGAAAUGCGCAGAUAUCAGGAGGAACACCAAUUGCGAAGGCAGCUCGCUGGGACGUUACUGACGCUGAGACGCGAAAGCGUGGGGAGCAAACAGG